rnacentral:rRNA from 1 species
UACGAGGGGUGCAAACGUUGCUCGGAAUUAUUGGGCGUAAAGCGCACGUAGGCGGCAUUGCAAGUCGGAUGUGAAAUCUUAUGGCUUAACCAUAAAAGUGCAUCCGAAACUGCAGUGCUUGAGUACUUAAGAGGAUCGCGGAAUCCCGGUGUAGAGGUGAAAUUCGUAGAUAUCGGGAGGAACACCAGUGGCGAAGGCGGCGAUCUGGGAAGAUACUGACGCUGAGGUGCGAAAGCGUGGGGAGCAACAGG